rnacentral:rRNA from 1 species
AGUGAACGCUGGCGGUAGGCCUAACACAUGCAAGUCGAACGGCAGCACAGUAAGAGCUUGCUCUUACGGGUGGCGAGUGGCGGACGGGUGAGGAAUACAUCGGAAUCUACUUUUUCGUGGGGGCUAACGUAGGGAAACUUACGCUAAUACCGCAUACGACCUACGGGUGAAAGUAGGGGAUCUUCGGACCUUGCGCGAUUGAAUGAGCCGAUGUCGGAUUAGCUAGUUGGCGGGGUAAAGGCCCACCAAGGCGACGAUCCGUAGCUGGUCUGAGAGGAUGAUCAGCCACACGGGAACUGAGACACGGUCCAGACUCCUACGGGAGGCAGCAGUGGGGAAUAUUGGACGAUGGGCGAGAGCCUGAUCCAGCCAUACCGCGGGGGUGAAGAAGGCCUUCGGGUGGUAAAGCCCUUUUGUUGGUAAAGAAAAGCAGCAGGUUAAUACCCCGCGGUUCUGACGGUACCCAAAGAAUAAGCACCGGCUAACUUCGUG